CUCUCAGUUGAGGUUCAGAUGUCGAGCUGUGCGGACGUGGUCAUGGAGCUGCUGUCUACAAAAAACGUGAGUACAAAUUUUUUUCGUUUUACUGUUUAGAUCUUCAUGUUUCGCGAUAGAUUGAAGUGGAGUUGCGUGAUGAUGUAUGAUGGUUGUAAUGUGUUGGGUAGAAAUUACUCAGUGCUGAUACAGUGUCGAUAUGUUGUAAUGAGCGAUGAUAGUGGAUGAUGGUGGAACAGAAUAUUCAUUGAGGUACUUUGAGGAAGCGAACAUAUGAUGGAAAAAUGUUGCAAAAAUAUUAAAUGACAAUUUAUUGAAUCACUUUUGUUGAUAUGUAUGAUAUUGAUUAAAUUGUAUUUGCAUGCUGUAACAUUUCUAUUUCAUUUCAGGGGGCUGUGGUGAGUAUUGUAGUAUAAAUUUGUUUCAAUAAAUCAUGAUGAAUGAAAACUGAUUUCGAUUCGUUUUGUACAGGUUUACUUGUAUAGAAGUGUAAUGCGUUGGGUAGAAAUUACUCAGUACUGAUAUAGUGUCGAUAUGUUGUGAUUAGCGAUGAUGGUGUAUGAUGGUGGAACAGAAUAUGAGCUUCUUUGGGAAAACGAACAUAUGAUUGAAAAAAAUUUGCAAACAUAGUAGAUAAAUGAUAUGAUAUUGCUUAAAUUGUAUUUGCAUGCUGUAACAUUUCUAUUUCAUUUCAGGGUGCUGUGGUGAGUACUGUAGAUUGUAGUGCAUAUGUAUAGAAUUCAAUAAAAGAUUAUGACUGAAAACUGCUUUUGAUUCUUAUUGUACAGUUUUAGGGAUUAUAAGUCUAUAGCAACUCUGUCGGUUGGUGUUCAUGAGUGUGAGCUUAAUACAGCAAUGUUUGAGUAGUACAAAAAUGUUUUCGCUUUUGUGGUCGCCAGCUGUCCGUGAUCUGUAAAGUGAAAAUACACAGAGCUAUGAAGCAUACAAAUGUUUCGAAAUUUUAUCAAUGAUUGUAUACUAUGCAUGUUUUGAUUUAGUUCGUUUCAGAUUUGACAUGAGAUGAAAACCUGACAUGAUUUGAACAGAGCUGGGAAACGAAAAGAUUUUCAGAUGUGUGCUGGCAGUUCAAGUCUGGCAGCUGGAGUGAACAGUCGUGUUUUCUGGAGCUCCAACAAUAUGCUAGAAGGUAAGUAACUAUGUUUGUUUUGCAUUGCAUGUUUUUAUAUGUUUCAGACUUUCAAGCAGAGAUGUCAUGCUGACUGGAGUUGAGCACAGGGCAGUGACAAAGUGAAAGGUAAGUACUUUUGACUGAAUGUUUGUUCUAUGCAUGUUUUGUUUUAAUACAUUUCAGGAGUGCUUAUCCAGUGAUGAUAUGACAGUUGGAGUGAACAGUGGAGCCAAGCAGUCUUGUUUUUGGAGCUACUCAACAAGCCUUGAAGAUGCUGAUGGCAGUGAUGGGUUUUCAAGCUGACCUGAACAGAAAAGCACUCAUAUGGUAAGUACAAAAUAGUUGUUAUAUGGGAUGUUUUGUGCAUGCUUUUAUGUUUCAGGUGUACUUGCUGACAGCGACGAAGACGAAUCAAGAAGAGGAACAUUGUUGAGAAAGUGAUUGGGACUUGCAAACAGGGUAAGUGUAACACUUGUGUUUGUUUAAUUUGUAACAUGCGUGCUUUGCUCUGUUUCAGAUUUCACAUGCAGAAAUUAAACAGGAUUUCAACUGCUGAGACACAAUUCAUCAAAAGUAAGGUAAGUUUUAAUUCAUUGAUUUGAGUUGUACAAUGUGUUCUUUACUUUAUUUCAGAUUCGAGUCACUGGUUUACACAUGGAAGAAGAUUUCCACGUCUGUUACUCAACUCUACAGAAGCAAGGUAAGUCGAUCAAAUUUUUGUUUUCAUUGACUGCUGUAAUGUGAUGUUAUGCUAUUUUUCAUGUGUGCUAUGCAGAGAUGGAGAAUUCAAUUUUAAGAAAGAUUAACUGCUGCAGCUUAGCUCUGCUCUGUGUUGAUUUUUGUUCAAAAACGUUUAAAAUGUAUGUGUGUUUUCAGAUGUUUUGUUUCAGUUGAUGUCCAGAUGGCAAGCAGUACAGACGUGUUUCUUGGAGCUGCCAAACAGUGAGUACAAACGUUUUAUAUUUUUCAGUUGUUUACUCAUAGAAGUCUGUGAAAGAUGAUAACAAGGGUUGAAUCUAUCAGCACUUGUGUCUAAAAAUGCUGAAGUGUGACGGUUUACUGAAAAGGGUAAAUGCUAGCCAGUACUUACACUUGAGCAACCGUGGGAUGUCGAACUAACUGAUGAUGUACUAUGAUGGUGAACACUUACUAUGUGUAUCAAAAUGCUUUUGUUGAUAUUUACUAUAGAUGAUUUGAUAUUGGUUAACAUUUGUUUGCAUGCUGUUAACAUUUCAAUUUCAUUUCAGGGAGCUGUGGUGAGUAUUGUAGUAUACAUUUGUUUCAAUAAUGUUUGAGUAGUACAAAAAUGUCUUUACUUUUGUGAUCGCCAGUUGUCUGUGAUAUGUAACGUAAACAAAAAACACAGCUAUGAAGCAUACAAUUGUUUCGAAAUUUUAUCAAUGAUUGUAUACUAUGCAUGUUUUGAUUUAGUUCGUUUCAGAUACGACAUGACAUGAAGAGUUGACAGUCGAACAGAGCUGAGCAAAGCAGAAAGGUAAGUGUGUUUCAUUUUAGUAUGAACACUUGUAUUUUGUUUUUAUAUGGUAUGUUUUGUGCAUGCUAUGUUUCAGGUGUACUUGUAGUCAGCG